UCUGGUACGUCAGGCUUCCGUCACCAAGAAGCAGAGCCUGAAGGACGAGCAGCAAAAUAUCCUGCUGUGGCCACAAGUGUCUGCUGGGGACCUGCUUCAGCCCUCGGCCUGUCCCCUCUCAUCAAGGGGCUCUGAGGCCUUUGGGAUUCCUGCCACAUUCACUCAAGGGCCUGUGAGGAUCAAACAAGUUGCCCCCAAGUUGUGGAGCAUGACUCGGGACGAGGCACUGCCAGACUCGUACUCAGCACAGGGCUUCUAUGAAAACUAUGAGCCCAAGGAGAUCCUGGGCAGAGGAGUUAGCAGCGUCGUCAGGCGCUGCAUCCACAAGCCCACGUGCCAGGAGUAUGCUGUGAAGAUCAUUGACAUCACUGGCGGAGGCAGCUUCAGCUCUGCGGAGGUCCAGGAGCUGCGAGAGGCCACACUGAAGGAGGUGGACAUCCUGCGCAAGGUCUCUGGGCUCCCCAACAUCAUACAGCUGAAGGACACUUAUGAGACCAACACUUUCUUCUUCCUGGUGUUUGAUCUGAUGAAGAGAGGGGAGCUCUUUGAUUAUCUCACUGAGAAGGUCACUCUGAGUGAGAAGGAAACCAGAAAGAUCAUGAGAGCCCUGCUGGAGGUUAUCCGCAACUUGCACAAACUCAACAUUGUACAUCGGGAUCUGAAGCCUGAGAAUAUCCUCUUGGAUGAUGACAUGAACAUUAAGCUCACAGACUUUGGUUUUUCCUGCCAGCUGGAGCCAGGAGAGAAGCUGCGAGAGGUCUGUGGGACUCCCAGCUACCUGGCCCCUGAGAUCAUUGAGUGCUCCAUGAAUGAUGACCACCCAGGCUAUGGGAAGGAGGUGGACAUGUGGAGCAUAGGGGUCAUCAUGUACACCCUGCUGGCCGGCUCCCCACCCUUUUGGCACCGGAAACAGAUGCUGAUGCUGAGGAUGAUCAUGAGUGGCAACUACCAGUUUGGCUCACCUGAAUGGGAUGACUAUUCAGACACUGUGAAGGAUUUGGUUUCCCGUUUCUUGGUGGUGAACCCCCAGGGCCGCUGUUCUGCAGAAGAGGCCUUAGCGCAUCCCUUCUUCCAGCAGUAUGUGGUGGAGGAAGUGCGUCACUUUAGCCCCCGGGGCAAGUUCAAGGUGAUUGCUCUAACAGUACUGGCUUCGGUGCGGAUCUAUUACCAGUACCGCCGGGUGAAGCCUGUGACCCGGGAGAUUGUCAUCCGUGACCCCUAUGCCCUCCGGCCUCUGCGCCGACUCAUUGAUGCCUACGCUUUCCGAAUCUAUGGCCACUGGGUGAAGAAGGGACAACAGCAAAACCGGGCUGCCCUUUUUGAGAACACACCCAAGGCUGUGCUCCUCUCCCUGGCUGAGGAAGAUUACUAAGGGGCUGGCAGGUGGGCUUGAAGAGUCAAUAUUUCCAUGACCACAGGCCAUGACCUUUUAUUGAGGUGACCAUUACACUCCCCUGCCUAUAAGGACAAAGAAAAGCCCUGGUGAUGCUAGACACAAAGUCUCUCUGGGUGCUGAGAGCUGGCAAGAAAAGGCAGAAGUUGCCCUGGGCAUGUUGGCUUCUCAUGGCAAGUGCUGCUUAUUCUCCUUUCUGUACUCACAGGGCGCAGAGAGAGGGGUGGAGGUAGUACCAACACAAGCUCUGUGAGAACAGGGCCCAGACCCUCAGCCCCUAGCUGCCGGACUCCUCACCUGGUAGUGACCCGGGCCAGGUGAUUGGCAGAGCCAUCAGCUGUGUCGAUCCAGGAUGCCCCCCGGAGAACACGCAUGUCCUGGUCAGCAGAUGGGUAUAGAGAUGCCGUCCACUCCCAUACGUUGCCCAUGAGGUCAUAGAGUCCUGAGCACAGCAGGUGGGUCAGCCCCAGGCUGGGCAGCCCUACCUCCAACCCCCCUGCUGCCUUGCGUAGCAAAGGCUUUGGGGAGCAAAUGCUCCCCUGGUAGUGUUUCUCUCUGCCUCAACCUUCAGGCAGAAUGAUCACACCAACCAAUCUGUGAGUGUUGACAGCAACGUGGUACGAAUCUUACCAUAGUUAUUCUGUGGAGGGAAAGCAUUCACUGGGGAGACUCCGUGGAAGCCAUCCUCCGCCUUGUCACCCUUGGGGAACUUUCCCUGAGGAGGAGAAAUUUAAGCUAAAAUAUUUACCAACCUGUUCCAAGCAGCCUCCACCCCUCCACCUUGAGCUUCACGUACUUCAAGGAUUUGGGAAGAAAGGCUCCUGCCAGCUCCUUUUGCUCAGCACCACCUGGCUUCUCCAGAAUGGCGAUGCCUGCCCUGUACUCUUCUACCACCGACAGGUUUAACGCUACCUCAUCUGCCCCGACUCUACCAUCCUCAUCUGUUUUUUACCUCCAAAAUGCUUGAAAAAAGGAACCUAUGUUUGCUGAAGCACUUUGUUCAAUUUGUUCAUUCUUCUCAUUAAAAUUGGGGUUCAGCUCCCCCUGCUCCAUGGAA